rnacentral:tRNA from 1 species
UCUAAUAUGGCAGAUUAGUGCAAUGGAUUUAAGCUCCAUAUAUAAAGUAAUUUCACUUUUAUUAGAA